GACGAACGCUGGCGGCGUGCUUAACACAUGCAAGUCGAACGGGUCUGCCCUGUUUUUUGCGGGGUGGGUCCGUGGCGAACGGGUGAGUAACACGUGAGUAACCUGCCCCUCACUUCUGGAUAACCGCUUGAAAGGGUGGCUAAUACGGGGUGUUCUGGCUGUGCCGCAUGGUGUGGCUGGGAAAGAUUCACUUUUGUGGUGUUUUGGUGGGGGAUGGGCUCGCGGCCUAUCAGCUUGUUGGUGGGGUGAUGGCCUGCCAAGGCUUUGACGGGUAGCCGGCCUGAGAGGGUGGGCGGUCACACUGGGACUGAGAUACGGCCCAGACUCCUGCGGGAGGCAGCAGUGGGGGGUAUUGCACAAUGGGCGGAAGCCUGAUGCAGCGACGUCGCGUGAGGGAUGGAGGCCUUCGGGUUGUGAACCUCUUUCGCCGGUGAAGAAGGUCCUGCUCUUUGUGGGGGGGUUGACGGUAGCCGGGUUAUGAAGCGCCGGCUAACUACGUG
rnacentral:rRNA from 1 species